GAUGAACGCUGGCGGCGUGCUUAACACAUGCAAGUCGAACGAUGAAGCCCAGCUUGCUGGGUGGAUUAGUGGCGAACGGGUGAGUAACACGUGAGUAACCUGCCCUUGACUCUGGGAUAAGCGCUGGAAACGGCGUCUAAUACCGGAUACGAGCUUCCACCGCAUGGUGAGUUGCUGGAAAGAAUUUCGGUCAAGGAUGGACUCGCGGCCUAUCAGGUAGUUGGUGAGGUAACGGCUCACCAAGCCGACGACGGGUAGCCGGCCUGAGAGGGUGACCGGCCACACUGGGACUGAGACACGGCCCAGAAUCCUACGGGAGGCAGCAGUGGGGAAUAUUGCACAAUGGGCGCAAGCCUGAUGCAGCAACGCCGCGUGAGGGACGAAGGCCUUCGGGUCGUAAACCUCUUUUAGCAGGGAAGAAGCGAAAGUGACGGUACCUGCAGAAAAAGCACCGGCUAACUACGUG
rnacentral:rRNA from 1 species